GUCAAGGUGGCGGAGUGGACAAUCGCACCAGACUGUAAAUCUGGCGCCCGAACGGGCUACGGGGGUUCGAAUCCCUCCCUUGACACCU
rnacentral:tRNA from 5 species